rnacentral:lncRNA from 1 species
UAGAGAUGCUGGUGUCCCACAUCCUGUUGGUCUCGUCUCUCCGGGACUGUGGCCCUCCAGGAGAAAUUCCCUUCUGAAGGAGAAGCAACAGCCUAGAGGACCUCUUAGAAAGGACCGCAUCAUCAGCUAAGGAGGAAAAGUAACAAAGAACUUGAAGACUUUCAUGGCUCCCAGGCCCUGGAUGGAGGCAGACGGCAUCAGGCAGCUUCAGACAGAGAAUGGUGGAAGCUGAGGGGCAGCUAGGAUGCGCCUGGGGCUGCAAAGCCCAGGAUAUGAAUCAGAGAGAAAAAACUGAAGUCUUGUCCCAAAAAAAGGACAGGGAGGACAGCAAAGGAUUUUUCACUGACUUGUCUUUGGAAAAGACUCAGAAGAGCCCGUUAACUUGGCUUCCUCACUUUGCUCAUCAUCGGCCCCAUCAGCAGAGAGAAAUAAUGACUCCUGAAUCAUUUCAGAAUCAAAAAGUUAAAAUGAUGUCUCAGUGACGCUACAACGUGCCAGACGCGGGUGAAUGGUUUGAAGAUGCUGGCCUAGCAAGAUGGCAACAGGUUUAAAACACUGGAUUCAUAAGAAGUUCCUUUUGUUCAG